CACCCACCUGGUGUCCCAGGUCUAAAUCAGUCCCUGAUUAGAGGGGAAUCACCCACCUGGUGUCCCAGGUCUAAAUCAGUCCCUGAUUAGAGGGGAAUCACCCACCUGGUGUCCCAGGUCUAAAUCAGUCCCUGAUUAGAGGGGAAUCACCCACCUGGUGUCCCAGGUCUAAAUCAGUCCCUGAUUAGAGGGGAAUCACCCACCUGGUGUCCCAGGUCUAAAUCAGUCCCUGAUUAGAGGGGAAUCACCCACCUGGUGUCCCAGGUCUAAAUCAGUCCCUGAUUAGAGGGGAAUCACCCACCUGGUGUCCCAGGUCUAAAUCAGUCCCUGAUUAGAGGGGAAUCACCCACCUGGUGUCCCAGGUCUAAAUCAGUCCCUGAUUAGAGGGGAAUCACCCACCUGGUGUCCCAGGUCUAAAUCAGUCCCUGAUUAGAGGGGAAUCACCCACCUGGUGUCCCAGGUCUAAAUCAGUCCCUGAUUAGAGGGGAAUCACCCACCUGGUGUCCCAGGUCUAAAUCAGUCCCUGAUUAGAGGGGAAUCACCCACCUGGUGUCCCAGGUCUAAAUCAGUCCCUGAUUAGAGGGGAAUCACCCACCUGGUGUCCCAGGUCUAAAUCAGUCCCUGAUUAGAGGGGAAUCACCCACCUGGUGUCCCAGGUCUAAAUCAGUCCCUGAUUAGAGGGGAAUCACCCACCUGGUGUCCCAGGUCUAAAUCAGUCCCUGAUUAGAGGGGAAUCACCCACCUGGUGUCCCAGGUCUAAAUCAGUCCCUGAUUAGAGGGGAAUCACCCACCUGGUGUCCCAGGUCUAAAUCAGUCCCUGAUUAGAGGGGAAUCACCCACCUGGUGUCCCAGGUCUAAAUCAGUCCCUGAUUAGAGGGGAAUCACCCACCUGGUGUCCCAGGUCUAACUCAGUCCCUGAUUAGAGGGGAAUCACCCACCUGGUGUCCCAGGUCUAAAUCAGUCCCUGAUUAGAGGGGAAUCACCCACCUGGUGUCCCAGGUCUAAAUCAGUCCCUGAUUAGAGGGGAAUCACCCACCUGGUGUCCCAGGUCUAAAUCAGUCCCUGAUUAGAGGGGAAUCAACCACCUGGUGUCCC